rfam:Picea glauca, whole genome shotgun sequence.
GCUUAUGUACAUGCCUACAAUGUUAAUGAACUAGAUUCCAUCAAUGCUCCUCAGUUAAGUGCACUUGGGCUAGAGUAGUACUGGGAUUGGUGACCUCACAAUAAGUCCUAGUGUUUUACGUGCC